AGUGAACGCUGGCGGUAGGCCUAACACAUGCAAGUCGAACGGCAGCACAGUAAGAGCUUGCUCUUACGGGUGGCGAGUGGCGGACGGGUGAGGAAUACAUCGGAAUCUACUUUUUCGUGGGGGAUAACGUAGGGAAACUUACGCUAAUACCGCAUACGACCUACGGGUGAAAGCAGGGGAUCUUCGGACCUUGCGCGAUUGAAUGAGCCGAUGUCGGAUUAGCUAGUUGGCGGGGUAAAGGCCCACCAAGGCGACGAUCCGCAGCUGGUCUGAGAGGAUGAUCCGCCACACUGGAACUGAGACACGGUCCAGACUCCUACGGGAGGCAGCAGUGGGGAAUAUUGGACAAUGGGCGCAAGCCUGAUCCAGCCAUACCGCGUGGGUGAAGAAGGCCUUCGGGUUGUAAAGCCCUUUUGUUGGGAAAGAAAAGCAGCAGGUUAAUACCCCGCUGUUCUGACGGUACCCAAAGAAUAAGCACCGGCUAACUUCGUG
rnacentral:rRNA from 1 species